GGCUGGUCCAAAGGUAGUGAGUUAUCUCACUUGAUUGUUCACAGUCAGCUAUAGAUUGAACUCCUUGGUGUACUACUUUCCCCACUUCUCACUACUGCACUUGACUAGUCUAAA
ensembl:misc_RNA Y_RNA Y RNA